AACACAUAGGGUCCAGCCCAAUGAGGACGAAACUUCCCACGUGGAUCUAUGAUUGGCUGUCUAAUUUCCUUCAGGACCAAACAACCUUCUUCCAGUUUCCGGUCUUUGACCUUCUUAUUAAAAUGUCGUGCCAUUCUUCUUUGAUAAACUUGAGUUUGGUGGAUUGCUCGCAGUCGCUUUUCAUCCAUACCCAAGAGUUGCAAAUGAUAAUUCUCAGCCCAAUCUGCUUCGCUGAUCUGGCUUUCCCGGAUAAUUCUCGCCGACUGAACUUCCAGCUCAAUAGGCAACACUACUUCCAUACCAUAUACUAAGGAAUACGGGGUUGCCCCAGUAGGCGUUCUGAUUGAAG
rnacentral:lncRNA from 1 species